GUAGUCUCGCACAGAUGCAUAUCAAUAAGCGGAGGAAAAGAAACUAACUAGGAUUCCCUCAGUAACGGCGAGUGAAGCGGGAAGAGCUCAAAUUUGAAAUCUUCAAGGUUCUACCUUGACGAAUUGUAGUUUAAAGAAGUGUUUUCUGUUGGAGUUUUGGUAAAAGUUCUUUGGAAUAGGACAUCAUAGAGGGUGAGAAUCCCGUAUUUGACCAUUAUUUCCAGCUUUGUGAUACACUUUCAAAGAGUCGGAUUGUUUGGGAAUGCAGUCCAAAAUGGGUGGUAAAUUUCAUCUAAAGCUAAAUAUUGGCGAGAGACCGAUAGCGAACAAGUACCGUGAGGGAAAGAUGAAAAGAACUUUGAAAAGAGAGUUAAACAGUACGUGAAAUUGUCAAAAGGGAAGCGUUUGACACCAGUGUUGUUUUCUCGAAAAUCAAUUAAAAAAGGCAGGAUUUUGUGUUGUAUUGACUUUAUCAGCUUUCUGCACUCUUUUCUUGUCUUUUUUUAAUGCACUUUUCGUUUAACAAGUCAACAUCAAUUUCUUUUGUUGUAAAAGGGUCAUUGGAAGGUGGCUUUCCUUUCGGAGAAAGUGUUUAUAGCCUUUGGCCUCUGCAAUCGGAGAGAUUGAGGUCUGCAGCGUAGGAUCCUUCGGGGUUAGAUACAUUUGCUGCUAAGUUAUAGCCUUUCAUAGACAACUUGUUGACUAUGAUCAGUCAUGUAGCUUACUCGCUUAUGCUAUUUUACCUACGCUUAGGAUGUUGAAGUCAUCGUAUCGCG
rnacentral:rRNA from 1 species